rnacentral:rRNA from 1 species
UGGGGAAUAUUGGACAAUGGGCGAAAGCCUGAAGCAGCAACGCCGCGUGUGUGAAGAAGGCCUUCGGGUUGUAAAACACUUUUUGAGGGGAUGAGGAAGGACAGUACCCUCAGAAUAAGCCUCGGCUAACUACGUGCCAGCAGCCGCGGUAAAACGUAGGAGGCGAGCGUUAUCCGGAUUUACUGGGCGUAAAGCGCGUGCAGGCGGCACGGCAAGUUGGAUGUGAAAGCUCCCGGCUUAACUGGGAGAGGUCGUUCAAAACUGCCGAGCUAGAGUGCGGGAGAGGGAGGUGGAAUUCCGGGUGUAGUGGUGAAAUGCGUAGAUAUCCGGAGAAACACCAGUGGCGAAAGCGGCCUCCUGGUCCGCAACUGACGCUCAGACGCGAAAGCUAGGGUAGCAAACGG